rnacentral:rRNA from 1 species
GACAGAGGGUGCAAACGUUGUUCGGAAUUACUGGGCGUAAAGCGCGUGUAGGCGGCAGGGCAAGUCGGAUGUGAAAUCCCGUGGCUCAACCACGGAAGUGCACCCGAAACUGCCCAGCUAGAGCCUCGGAGAGGAAGGUGGAAUGCUUGGUGUAGAGGUGAAAUUCGUAGAUAUCAAGCGGAACACCGGUGGCGAAGGCGGCCUUCUGGACGAUGACUGACGCUGAGACGCGAAAGCGUGGGGAGCAAACAGG